GAUGAACGCUGGCGGCGUGCUUAACACAUGCAAGUCGAACGACGGAGCCCAGCUUGCUGUGUGGGUUAGUGGCGAACGGGUGAGUAACACGUGAGUAACCUGCCCUUAACUCUGGGUUAAGCCUCGGAAACUGGGUCUAUUCCCGGAUAGACGCGUCCACCGCAUGGUGGGUGUUGGAAAGAUUUAGCGGUUUUGGAUGGACUCGCGGCCUAUCAGCUUUUUGGUGAGGUAAUGGCUCACCAAGGCGACGCCGGGUAGCCGGCAUGAGAAGGUGACCGGCGACAAUGGGACUGAGACACGGCGCAGACGCGAACGGGAGGCAGUAGGGGGAAGUAUGGCACAACGAGGGCGAGUCUGAUACGGCGGCGCCGGGGGAGGGAUGCCGGCCUGCGGGGUGUGAACAGCAUUCAGUAGGGAAGAAGCGAAAGUGACGGUACCUGCAGAAGAAGCACCGGCUAACUACGUG
rnacentral:rRNA from 1 species